GGCCUGGUGGCGUAACGGUAACGCGCACAUUUGCAGUCAACCUCUCCGCGAUAUUACAAUUGCGAGUCCCUCGUUCAAUUCGAGGUCAGGCCG